ACCGGAAAAUUUUCCAGUAACACACCGCUAAAGAUGAAAUCGGGACAAUGCGUUGCUCCUUUAAUCCACGGAAGGCAGAUGCAGGUAAAAAGCGGAUCGACGUUCAUUUGUCACGAUGGAUGGCGCGGUUUUUGUCUCUUCGAUACGUUGGACAGUGAAAUCCAUAUUAUGUCUUGAGGCAUCUCCUUCGUUGUGUACACAUGGGAAACGUAUCGAAAAGCUUGCAGUGAAAAACAGUGGAUGACAAAUGUUUUGGACUCCCGACUGGGCGCCCUCCCGGAGCCUCAAACUGUGGACAAACGGUCGCGCGGUCCCCUGCCGGAUCAGAGGGCCUGGACCCCCACGGGAACAAUGUUGCUCCUCGCCAACGCUCUAUGAACCCUCCUCUUCUCACCUGAAUGGACCGCUGACGUUGCACCUCCCCACACUGAUGGACACGCGCAAUUACGCACAUCUGCGUCGUGGUUUCCACAAAGACGCGGUUUUCACUAAGGGCUCAGGCCACGAGAUCAUCCUAACAAUCAUUUUUUAUGCUAAUUCAUUGUUAAUAUAUAAUGUACUAAUUAUAGUUGCACUGAUUGUGUAUAAAACGUAUAAAAAAUAGACAUUAAAGUGUAAUCCAUACGUUUAAAAAGCUGAUUUUGAAUCUAAAAAUGUAAUAAA